rnacentral:rRNA from 1 species
GUCUAUGGCCAUACCACCCUGAACGCGCCUGAUCUCGUCUGAUCUCGGAAGUUAAGCAGGGUCGGGCCUGGUUAGUACUUGGAUGGGAGAAUGCUGAGUGCUGAAGAAC